UGGGGAAUUUUGGACAAUGGGGGCAACCCUGAUCCAGCCAUCCCGCGUGUGCGAUGAAGGCCUUCGGGUUGUAAAGCACUUUUGGCAGGGAAGAAACAGCCUGGGCUAAUAUCCCGGGCGACUGACGGUCCCUGCAGAAUAAGCACCGGCUAACUACGAGCCCGCAGCCGCGGUAAUACGUAGGGUGCAAGCGUUAAUCGGAAUUACUGGGCGUAAAGCGUGCGCAGGCGGUUCGGAAAGAAAGGUGUGAAAUCCCAGGGCUUAACCUUGGAACUGCACUAUUAACUACCGGGCUAGAGUACGUCAGAGGGGGGUAGAAUUCCACGUGUAGCAGUGAAAUGCGUAGAGAUGUGGAGGAAUACCGAUGGCGAAGGCAGCACCCUGGGAUGAUACUGACGCUCAUGCACGAAAGCGUGGGGAGCAAACA
rnacentral:rRNA from 1 species